AGGUGCCUGUAAAAAACUUGCAGCUUCCAAAGGAAACUUUGGAAUGAACAUCUUGGGAUAACGGUGAAGCCGAGCACAUAAACUUGUUAUGUGCUCGGUAAUACCGUGGGAACCGAGCACAUAAUGCUUUAUGUGCUCGGGCGCCGUAGAGACUAGAUACCGAGAUACCUAAUCCGAAUUAAAAAUUUGGUAUGGUAAAGAUAUAGUCCAACCUCGUUAGUAAUAAUGAG
rnacentral:ncRNA from 1 species